UCCCUGCAGGCAUGCCCUCAGAACUUUUAAUCUUUAUGAAACAUUUGAAGACCUCGAGAAAGGACAAUACCCUUGGUUCUAUACAGAUGCUGUCAUGAAUUCAUCUUAUAUCAGUUUCAUAAAUCUGAGAAAACAAACUAGAGAGAAGGCAACACAUAUUUCAUUUUAGCUGUGAGCAACUUCCAUUGUGAAUCAAGGAUUCAUUCAAAAUACAUCUGGUAUGAGGUUUUGCUUUUCACAGAAUGGCAACAUCUAACCUCAUCACACAGAAUCCAUGUAGUCAAAUACCAUUGAGGAUAGUUGUGUGGUCACUAUGUUGUAAUAUCAGACAAAGAUGACAGUGAAUCUGCAAAAGAAGAAAGCAUUCUGAGAACCACUGAUUCCAGAGCAGGUGAAGGUAAGAGUAUAUUUCAAAACAGAACACAAAAGAAUCUAUGCUCACAGGCUAUAUUUCGAAGGAUAGAUUUUUCAAAAAUCUUUCCAAUAAUUAAUAAUCAUGGGAUUUAGAGUUCUAAAACUAUGUUUCUACCCAUUAUAUGCAUAGAGUAAAACUAUUAAACAAUUGCUAGAUGUCUCAUUUAUGCUAUGAGUAAUCAGAAUGUUGAGAAAAUAACUUUCACUGGAUAUAAUCAUAAAGCAACAUUAUUUCCUAAACUGCAUUGGGGGAGUUCUUUCUUGGGUACUAGAUACAAACACGCAGUUCCAUGCCUUUGCAGAUAAUUCUUAGAUUAAAUACAAAUAAUAUUAAUCCAGGCUGGGCACAGUGGCUCACGCCUGUAAUCCCAGCACUUUGGGAGGCUGAGGCGGGUGGAUCACAAGGUCAGGAGAUCGAGACCAUCCUGGCUAAUACGGUGAAACCCCGUCUCUACUGAAAAUACAGAAAA